rnacentral:lncRNA from 1 species
GUUUACUUUGAUGCUUUCGGAAUUCCCCUACUAGCUGCAGUGGUUUCCUGCCGUUUGCUAGCUGGAGAGUUGCCUGUGCACACUCUCUCAGCCUUUGGGAUGAGCCCUUGCCUCUCCGAGCUUGUCUUAACACAUUAUUUAUUCUGCAGCUCUUCUCCUGGCCUGAGCAGUACCGGGGUUGCUACGACUGCACUAAGGGGCCUAACCCUCUUGCCCCAGCCUUUGAGGGGGAAAAGAUUGUUCCUGACUCCGUUUAUUUCCAGGUAGAAAAGAAUCAGCUCUGCAGCGUGAAGGCGAAGGCGAGGGGCUGCAGCCAAGUUUCCCAGGAAUCAGGAGUUGUCAGCAGGGACAGAUUCUCUCUCUGGAGCUGCGUGGUCUCUGGUCUGCACAUCUGCUCUCUUCUCCUCUAGUCUGGCUUCCUCUGGAAGAAAGGAGGAAAAAGAACUUAAGAAAGUAAAGAAAGAGACUGUCACAGUGACCAUUCCUCUGCUAUCAAUCAUUGGUGGCGGUGGAGGAGGUGAGUGGGGAGAGACCAGGAGGGGUGCAGGAAGGUCCCAAGCUGCUUGUGGAAGAGCUGAAAGUUUCCAUUUCUAUUCAAAUAUUAUUAGCAUGAUGGGAAAGAGCCAUUUCCCAAGCUUUCUUACAAGUGAUUUUCACCAGGAAUGCAGCUUCAUGUGCUGUUUCUUUUCUUUCUCUCUAACUCUCACUAGUGCCACACACAUCUUAAUCAUGUAUCUUGUCGCCGGCAACCUAGGAUUAUUAUUUUUUUUCUUGACCAAUUUAUACUGAUUGUGUGGGA